GGGCAUUUUCCGAGGACCAGUUUAAGCUUAAUUUGAACUUUAGGAUACACAGACUCCACCUAAUGCAAUACAGACCAAAACCGGAUGAAAAUAUUGUGGACUUCAUGACUAGAGCCAGAACUUUAGCAUUGAAGUGCAAAUUCACAGAAGGGGAGUUGCAUGAACGUCUCAUUGUGCUCAUCAUUGCUAGCACGCCACACAAUGCACUGAAGAACGACCUGUAUGGGAAACCUCAUGGCUACUCCCUGGCUGAUGUGUUAGAAGAAGGACGGAAAUAUUAAGCUUCAUCAGCAGGGAACCAACAGCUAAACCAGCUUGGAUUAUCCAACUCUGAAAAAGUACACGCAAUACAAAGAGGGCAAACAUGCCGGAACUGUGGCAGAAGCCACGAACCGCGUCAGUGCCCUGCAUUGAAUGAUGAAUCCUCUGCAUGUGGGGCAAAAGGGCACUGGGCAAGGUGCUGUAGAAAGAACAAACGACAAUCAAAGCAAAACUUCAGCACAAGAAGAAGUUAUUUUGCCCAACAACUGCGUGUGCAGUACUGCACAACAUUUGCGUUGGUGUGGGCGAUGACCUCCCAGUGGAGGAUGGGGCCCUGGAGGGAGAUGACCCUCCUCUUGAAGGAGAAUGUGGCACGGAGUCACAGAGUGGAGCUCCUUGGCGUGCGGCACUGGCCAAUGCCAUUACCCCUCUUGAAGUGGCUCCACAGGACCACGACUACUUUGUUCUGCCUGUGACCGGACCAAGACAUACAUUUUAACAUACAUUUUUUUUAUAUUAUUUAAUCACUUUUAUCCAUUAUGAAUGUGUUUUUUGUUGUGGUUGAUCGAAUC
ensembl:lncRNA